UACAGAGGGCUCAAGCGUUGUUCGGAUUCAUUGGGCGUAAAGGGUGUGUAGGUGGCGCCGUAAGUCGGGUGUGAAAUUUCGGAGCUUAACUCCGAAACUGCAUUCGAUACUGCGGUGCUGGAGUACUGCAGGGGAGACUGGAAUUCCUGGUGUAGCGGUGGAAUGCGCAGAUAUCAGGAGGAACACCGGUGGCGAAGGCGGGUCUCUGGGCAGUAACUGACGCUGAGGAGCGAAAGCGUGGGGAGCGAACAGG
rnacentral:rRNA from 1 species